rnacentral:rRNA from 1 species
UUGGUAAGUCUCUGGGGAAAUCCUACAGCUUAACUGUGGGAAUUGUAGGGGAUACUGUUGGGCUUGAGGCCGGGAGAGGUGGGAGGUACUCCGGGGGUAGGGGUGAAAUCUUAUAAUCCUGGGAGGACCACCUGUGGCGAAGGCGUCCAGCUGGAACGGACCUGACGGUAAGGAACGAAAGCCAGGGGCGCGAACCGGAUUAAAUACCCGGGUAGUCCUGGCCGUAAACGAUGUGGACUUGGUGUUGGGAUGGCUCCAAGUUGCCUUGGUGCCGAAGGGAAGCUGUUAAGCCACCCGCCUGGGAAGUACGGCCGCAAGACUGAAACUUAAAGGAAUUGGCGGGGGAGCACCACAACGCGUGGAGCCUGCGGUUUAAUUGGAUUCAACGCCGGAAAUCUCACCGGGGGCGACAGCAAAAUGAUAGCCAGGUUGAUGACCUUGCUUGACAAGCUGAGAGGAGG